rnacentral:rRNA from 1 species
UACGAGAGGCCCGAACGUUAUUCGGAAUUACUGGGCUUAAAGAGUUCGUAGGCGGCGCAGAAAGUAGGGUGUGAAAGCCCUCGGCUCAACCGAGGAAUUGCGCUCUAAACUACUGUGCUUGAGGAAUCUAGAGGUGAGCGGAACUGAUGGUGGAGCGGUGAAAUGCGUUGAUAUCAUCAGGAACACCGGAGGCGAAGGCGGCUCACUGGGGAUUUUCUGACGCUGAGGAACGAAAGCUAGGGUAGCGAACGGG